CAGGAGAUAGUUUAAUAAAGAAUAUCAGCUUUGGGAGCUGAAGGUAAGGGUUUAAGUCCCUUUUUCCUGA
rnacentral:tRNA from 1 species